GGACAUUGUUGUUUGUAACACAGACACAUUGUUCCCCAGGGAACAAGGCCAUGCUGUCAGGAGCUCACAGAAGAGCAGGCAGAGGAGAAGGGAAGGCCCGUGGGAACUUGAGGUGAACCUCAGGAAGAGAAAGGAGCAACAACUGGAGGAGAAAGAAGAAAUAUGACCCUUUCCUUGUAUGCUUCCAGCCCCGGGUCCCCUCAAGGACUGCUCUGAAUUGAAACUAGCCACAUCAGUUUUCACUGAACAUGUGCUCUGAGCCAGAAGCCACGGUGGGUAGUAACAGGUUCACCAUGGCAUCCAGGUACCAUGGAAGAGUUCAUUUACCCAUCACAGGCAAAGUCCUGAUACACAGUGGUCUGGUGGCAACCUCAGGAGCCACCAGCAUUCAAAGUGCUAAACUCCGGAGCCUGGAAGCCCUCCCUGCUCUGCUGGGGCUGUGAGUGGCAGAAGGAAAAUUCCCAGCCCAAGAAGACUGCCUGCAGUUGCCAAAAUGAACCACUGCCUGUACACAAGAGCGAUACUCUUCGGGUUGGAACGGUUCAGGUUGGCUUACCAGAAAGAGCCAGGAAAAAUCCCAAAGAUCAACUUCAGAUUUCCAUGCACCCUUGUGUCUGUCUUGAAAGCUUUGGUGCCCACCUAGAGCCCAGAGGUAAUGGCAUCAAGGCUCAUUUCUGCAGCAGAGACAUGCAGCUCACAAGUCCUCAGAGAGAACAUACUCACCUAACAAAGCCUAGGCACAAUUCUGGAGGCCUAAGAGGCCCUAAAGAUAUGGCUGGCCAACUCCACCAAACACAACCUCAUCUUUUCCAAAUCAGAACAUUUUGAACUCUGCAUAAGUAUCAUCAUGGACCCUUGCCUUGGGCCUUCUGUCUAUGUUUCCUGUUCACGGUGGCUGCUGCAGAGGAUGGCUCCCGCUUUGAACUGGUCUGUGACAGUGACUAGGAAGAUACCCUUCUUGGCUUAACACAAUUGCCCUCCUGUAACUGGAAGCCCUAGGCUGUCUGCCUUACUACUGCUAUCUUUGGUAAUUCUAAAGAACAAGUCUGGGGCCUAGAGAGAUGGCUCAGCAGUUAAGAGCACUGGGUGUUCUUCCAGAAGACUAGGGUUCAAUCCCCAGUAGGCACAUGGAUAUUGACAACAAUCUGUAACUAUAGUUUCAGUCUUUUGGCUUCCAUGGGCACUGUGCACACAUGGUGUACAGACUUAGAUGAAGGCAAAACACUCAUAUACAUAAAAAUAGUAAUGAACUAAGCAAUAAAUCAAAUGCAAGUCUGA